UUGUCGGCUUGUUUUAAGUGGGCUUUUGCAUUGUACAGGGAACAAAAUGUAGCCCAAGUCGUACACCUCAAAUGGGCUGGACCAAUGGUGAUUUUGUGAUAUCGUAAAAAUAUGAAGGCUAUAUUGGUAUCUCAAACAUCCUACCUCUUAGACCUCAGAAACCCUAAUUCUAAUUUUUGGAGUAUAUAAGCAUAAUCAGAAUUCUCCGACUAUCGUAAAAAACCAAUCCUGGGAAUUUAAGAAAGUCGACUCUUUCAUCUUUUUUCUAUCUCAUCCUCUAGGUGUUCUUGUUCUUUUUUAUUACAUAUUUUCUUUUUUGACUGGCAUUGGACAGCAAUAUCAAUUCAUUCAGAACUUGGAACUCUAACUUGCUAGAAUAGGCUGAGCAAGAAAAAGGUGAUCCGAAUCAUACUGUGACUCAUGACCGAAAAGUGAAAAAGUAUAGACAAAUAACUGAAAUGGUCUUAAAAUUAUCUUUUUCAGACAAUCUAAUUGAGAGAGAAAGUGGAAUUUUUCAAAAAACGGAUAGCAUUAUUUUUAAAGAUUUAGAAUUCCGGUUGCAUAACAUCUCAUUAUUAAUCUUUCUCUUACAACAUAAAAGAAACAAAUUGUUAAUCUUUCUCCAAUAAUAUAGAAAACAGAAGAAUAUAGAAGCAAAUUUUUAUCCGCCAGUGUUCAAUUGAUAUGUAUUGACUAAUAUUAUUCGUUUAAUAUGACUAAUAACUUCAUAUUGUUUAUUUAGCGGACUAAUAGAAUUGGGCUAUGCAAUGCAGGAAUUUUGUGGAUUGGGUUUAGGUUCAUCCGAAUUUGUUCAGGCUUGGAGAAAUUUGGACCGACAUCGUAGAGUUGUAUCAUAAAAUGGGCUUUCUUUCAAAAAAAAGACGGGCCCUUUUUUACUUUGCGUGCUUUUACUUUUAACUAGCAAUCCUCGUUCAUUCGGCAUGCUGAAAUUCAAUAACUCAAUCGGAGAACUCAGCAGGAUUUUUAUUUAUUUAUUUAUUUUCCUCUGGUGAAUCAUUCAGCAGUAUUUCGCUACUUGUAAGGAAGGUAUAUAUCUAUAUAUAUAUAUAUAUAUAUAUAUAUUACAUACUACAAAUAAUCUGUCCAGAACUCGGCUAUCACAAUUUCCAAUGUAUCCAUCCAGUUGUAAAUGACAAAAAGUUGUAUAUUGUUUUUCUAGUCCAUUUGUUGCCACAUUGAAAUUCAGUUGGAGAAUUUUAAGCCACCGUAUCAUGCAUGCAUGAAUGAUGAAUAAACUUGUACUGAAUUAUGCAUUAUAAUGGUGAUUUGAUCUUUUUCGUC